GGUUUAUCUAGUCCAAGGCAACAAAGAGCUAAAUGUUCUCAAAGUUAUACGAAUACCUUCCUUGGGGUCUGGAAGAGGGGGGAGAGGAGCUGAACAACGAGUACUGCCCUUCCUGUGUAGGUGAGGGCAGUUAUUGACUGUAGGCAUCUGACCAGAAAUUAAUCCCUUGAUAAACAGUAUCAGUAAUUUUCCUGCUUGACAAUUGGGUCUUUAUGAUCCCUCUUCAGGCUUCAGAGGUAAAAUGAAAACACUAUUCUUGGCCGUGUGAUGUAUUGUGAGUUAACUUUUUCUUAAUUCCUGCUUUGGGGCCCUUAAAGCUAUCUGUCUUUUUAUUCUUUCUUCUCUAUCCUGGAAUGAAGAAUACCUUUUCUUUUUUGCAAUAAUUUCUUUAUUCAGUGUCUGCAGUGAACAAGGCAGUUACUAGCACAGGAGAUAAUCUGGUUAUUGUAACUGCUAGCAAUUGUCAACAAGAGGUGGAGAAACAUACAACGGGGGAAAUGAUGGAAAGACAAAGUACGAGCAAAGCGGAGAUAUUUGAUAUUUCUGUCUGCAGAAACAAGAAGUUGCGAUGAGGUCCAGCCCAGGAGAAGCUUGAGGUACUGACUCAUACUGAGACACUGAAGGAAAGGUUUGCUUGCAGGUAUUCCAAACCAAGGCAAUCUGUAUUCUAAGGGUGGAUUUUUUUUCUGAUCUCAGCAAGAACAAAAACAUGUUUUUAUUUUUAAUGAUCAGAGACACUCUUUUAAUACUUUCUGGUUUUUUUGCCUACUCAGAUAAAUCAGUGAGUCAUAUAGCCCCAGUGCUCUCAAUAAACUGAUUUCUUGUCUGAAA